AGAGCCAGGGCAGAGGGGGACACAAAUGCCCCAGGAAGCGAGAACAGAGCACGGGGCACAGGAGCACAGGGCGGCCAAAGAGGCCCCACAAAGAGCCCUGAUGUGGGCACCAACCAGGGCCAAGGCCACAAAGGCGCAGCAGGGAGGCGCAGCAGGGAGACUGGCAGGGUGUGAGCGGAACUGCCACACGCGUCAGCCUCCAGAGCCGGAGUCGCUGCACCGCUCAAAGGGGCCCCUGGAAAGGACCUGGUCUUCAAGAUGCACCCACCCCCGGAUCCAGAUCCCCGGAACCACAAGCUGCUGGGAGACCUGUGACCCCCUAGAAUCCCAACAUCAGAGUUUGGAAGGAUCCUCAAGGGCCAGCAAACACCUGUUCUACGUGGAGAUCAACACACACAGGACCCAAGAGGAGAGGGCGCGCCCAGCGGGCCGGCCAUCGGACUCCCGUUCCCUUGCCACACUCACGCAGCUCGGCACUUCCUCUUCACAACAGGUCAGCCAGCCACGCCUACACGUGGGGACCCGGCUGGGGUUUUGCAGUGGGAAGCACACGUGAUUACAAACACAGAACAGAACGUCGCACCUGAUAGAGCACAACCAAGCACCUCCCCCAGUCUGAGGGAGGCGUUAUGAUGCAGACAGAGGCCGGGCGUCCCGGUAGACCUGGGCUCAAAUUCUGACUCCAGCAUAAACCCGGGGCCUCGAGCUAACUUGCCUGUCGCAUCUGCGUCAUGCCCGCCAGUGGGCUCGCAGGAGAGUACGGCAGCCUCAGUCGGCAGCUGUCUCUACCACGUGCGGUUACGUUGAGCUCUGUAGAUGGGAAAAUGUAUCUGAAAAAACUCCUCAUCACUUGACAUAUCUUCAGCCACAUCUCAGUGGGAUUUUCCAGGGAGUCAGCCAAAAGAUCUUCCAGAAAAGUCCCUGCCCAUAUGCUAUGCGCUGGCUCUGUGCAGCUGGGAAGAGCUCACCAACCUGAACUCAGAAGGAGGCCAGGGCAUUCUCACUUUGAUCUGCACUAACGGGGGUGACUCGCUACAGCAGAGGUCAGGAGCCGUCCGCGUCACACACUUCUCCUCCCGGUGGAACCAGCUCAUCUCGGUCUCUAUACAUUUGGAGCAUCUGCUAGGCGCCUGCCAAGCCUGAAUCAUGGAACCAUUGGAUUUCAUGGGUGGAAACAUCUUAGAGUUCCUGGCUCAGGGAGCAAGCUCUGUCCUCUGGACAACUGACCCUCUGGUCAAGGUGCCCCAGCUUCACUCCCCUUCCCCGACUCCUCUCUGUCCCCCGCACGACCCAGACAAGCCCAGCCCGGCCCCCAGCCCAUGUUUUUGCUGUUUCUUUGCUCCUGUGCAGUUGUCCAGACCAGCCUAGGACGUCCCCAAGACAGGUGUGACGAGACCUCUGGUCCAGCAUGGGCACGGUAGCUGCAGCCUUGGAGUCUCUGUAGGCCUUUAUGUAAGAAAAGGCUGGGAGAAUGCUCCCAGCUUCAGGAAACUACAUAUUGUGCAUUAAAGAAGAGGGGACUUGGGGCUGACACCGUAGUGUAGCAGGUAAAGCUGCCGCCUGCAGUGCUGGCAUCCCAUGUGGGCACUGGUUCGACUCCCAGCUGCUCCACUUCCAAUCCAGCUCUCUGCUGUGGCCUGGGAAAGCAGUAGAAGAUGGCCCAAGUCCUUGAGCCCCUGCACCCACAUGGGAGACCUGGAGGAAGCUCCUGGCUCCUGGCUCCUGGCUCCUGGCUUCGGAUUGGCACAGCUCCAGCUGCUGCGGCCAACUGGGGAGUGAACCAGUGGAUGGAAGACCUCUCUUCUCUCUGCCUCUCCUUCUCUCUCUGUCUAACUCUGACUUUCAAGUAAAUAAAUGAAUCUUAAAGAAGAAGAAGAUACCUUGGAGACCAUUCGGGC